CACCAUCCUCCAAAGCUGUUGUCGAUAAACUCAGUUCUUUAUCCCUCCAAGGCAACGAAGUUCUUGCAGUUUAUGAUUUUGAGAAACUUUAUCCAGCACUCAAGAUUUCCCCCCACCUGCCUGCAGUUAUACCGGUUCUUCUUAGAAAACACGCCCCAAGAAAACUAUAACCCAGCCUUAUAUAGGGACAUAGCGGAUAUCCUUUGCAAUUGGUCAUACUAUGAGUUCAGGAAUGGCUUCUACAAACAGACCGAAGGCGUCCCUAUAGGUAGCCAGCCAUCUUGCGGGAGUAUUGGUGGAGCUAAUCCUAAGGAGAAUGG
rnacentral:lncRNA from 1 species